UACGUAGGGGGCUAGCGUUGUCCGGAUUUAUUGGGCGUAAAAGAGCGUGUAGGCGGCCAUGUAGGUCCGGUGUGAAAACUCGAGGCUUAACCUCGAGAUGUCAUCGGAAACCAUUUGGCUAGAGUCCGGAAGAGGAGAGUGGAAUUCCUGGUGUAGCGGUGAAAUGCGCAGAUAUCAGGAAGAACACCAAUGGCGAAAGCAGCUCUCUGGGACGGUACUGACGCUGAGACGCGAAAGCGUGGGGAGCGAACAGG
rnacentral:rRNA from 1 species